rnacentral:rRNA from 1 species
UACGAAGGGGGCUAGCGUUGCUCGGAAUCACUGGGCGUAAAGCGCGCGUAGGCGGGUUCUUAAGUCAGGGGUGAAAUCCUGGAGCUCAACUCCAGAACUGCCUUUGAUACUGGCGAUCUCGAGUCCGGGAGAGGUGAGUGGAACUGCGAGUGUAGAGGUGAAAUUCGUAGAUAUUCGCAAGAACACCAGUGGCGAAGGCGGCUCACUGGCCCGGUACUGACGCUGAGGUGCGAAAGCGUGGGGAGCAAACAGG